rnacentral:rRNA from 1 species
AUUGAACGCUGGCGGAAUGCGUUACACAUGCAAGUCGAACGGUAGAGGGGGCAACCCCUCGAGAGUGGCGAACGGGUGAGUAAUAUAUCGGAACGUGCCCAGCCGUGGGGGAUAAAGUAGCGAAAGUUACGCUAAUACCGCAUACGAUCUAAGGAUGAAAGCGGGGGAUCGCAAGACCUCGCGCGAUCGGAGCGGCCGAUAUCAGAUCAGGUAGUUGGUGGGGUAAAGGCUCACCAAGCCAACGAUCGGUAGCUGGUCUGAGAGGACGACCAGCCACACUGGAACUGAGACACGGUCCAGACUCCUACGGGAGGCAGCAGUGGGGAAUUUUGGACAAUGGACGCAAGUCUGAUCCAGCCAUUCCGCGUGCAGGAUGAAGGCCCUCGGGUUGUAAACUGCUUUUGUACGGAACGAAAAGGUCUCUCUUAAUACGGGGGACUCAUGACGGUACCGUAAGAAUAAGCACCGGCUAACUACGUGCCAGCCGCCGCCGUAA